UUCGAGAUUUGAGGAAGAUGACCUAAAAACUUCCUCUCUUUUUCAAAUCAGAAACAUUGGUUGUUGCUAAAACAGAACAGCCUUCCGUUUGGGGAAUCUCAGUAGCUCCCAUCCAAGGUGCUGACGUUUCAACAAACACUUAGAGCUUGUUAUCUUUAUGAUUGUGAACCUGAAGGUAUCUAUGAUUAAAUCCAGGGAAGCACCAUUCUUCAGGCGAUAUGGUAAUACCAUUAUCUACGAGC